UCUCUCUUCUUCUUCUUCUUUUAAGUUUUAACGAGAAAAAUAUAAUUGAAUUUUAUAAAUUGUCAAGAGUGUCUCUCUUGUGUUUCUCUGUAUAAUACGUGUGUGGGUGUAGGUGUGGGUGUGGGUGCUGCCUACGACCGUAUCUCUUUCUAAACGACCGAAAAACAGGUGGACACGUCUGUGUGUUUGUAUGUGUACGUGCGCGCGCGUGCUUAUAUGCGUGUAUAUGCAUGUACAUGCGUGCGUCGUCUGGUCUCUAUUAAGAAGAACGAGCAGCUGAGUCCGAAUUAUCGAGAAGGGAAGAACUUCACCUGGCCAUAGUCGUAAAACUCGUCGUUUUCAUACGUCGUUUCACAUAGAAAAAUGUAAAAGAAACAUAUUUCUUGUUAGAUCGAAAAAUUGAAAACAAUCAUCCUAAUUUCGAUAUUUCUUUUCAUUUCGAUUCUUUGAGUCAUCGUUAAAAUUGUUGACGAAAAUUUUUUUGUCACACACAACAAACGGGUCUUUUAACUUGCAUUUUAUUUUUUGAUUUAUUUCUUCUCUUUCUCUUAAUCUUUUCGAUGAAUUUUAUAUAUGUUUCACGCUAUCCAACCCAAAAUUGAUCCAAAUUGAUAACAUAUAUAUUAUUUUUUGGAAGAAUUUUGAAGAAAAAACACGCAAAAAGUGUGUUGUCUAUUACAGACGUAAUUGGAGUGUAGUAAGAUAUUUAGAAAAGAAAAAAAAACAAAAACAAAAAAAAAAGAUACGAAUGUGUAGAACAACGAGACUAAAAGAUGUUGAAGACGUCGCUUUGGACAUGGGAUAGAUGAUAGCACCGAUGUUUAUACCAUGCCGUAGAGAACAGAUGAGCUAAGCAGAAUGGAUUGGACGUAUGGACUCGGGAGGACCCUCCUGAGGACUCUAUCACGGUGAACGAAUUCCUAAAACGCAAGACUGCAACCACUACUUCGUCGUACAAUCUUUUAUUUUCCCCCUCGACGUGUACGAAAAAGACUGAAAAUAUUUAUCUUCAAAAAAUAUAUUUAAAUAUACUCG
rnacentral:lncRNA from 1 species